rnacentral:rRNA from 1 species
AUUGAACGCUGGCGGCAGGCCUAACACAUGCAAGUCGAACGCGUGGCGGACGGGUGAGUAAUGUCUGGGAAACUGCCCGAUUGAGGGGGAUAACUACUGGAAACGGUAGCUAAUACCGCAUACCAUCGGAUGUGCCCAUAUGGGAUUAGCUAGUAGGUGGGGUAACGGCUCACCUAGGCGACGCUCCCUCGCUGGUCUGAGAGGAUGACCAGCAACACUGGAACUGAGACACGAUCCAGACUCCUAGGGGAGGGAGCAGUGGGGAAUAUUGCACAAGGGGCGCAAGCCUGAUGCAGCCAUGCCGCGUGUGUGAAGAAGGCCUUCGGGUUGUAAAGCACUUUCAGCGAGGAGGCGUUACUCACAGAAGAAGCACCGGCUAACUACGUGCCAGCCGCCGCGGUAAUAC